AGCAGACAAAGGGCGUCUUUUCCAGCUGCGGGGUCAGAACCAGCUCCUUUAGAACAGUAAAAGUAAUAAUACUUGGGAACACCAGUAUAAUGCUAACAGGGUAGCAUGAGUAAAUUAAAUGAAGGAGUUGCUCAAAUUAGGACUUGGACAGUCCCUUUAUUUUGUUUAGUGAAAGAAAUAAGUCCUAAUCAGAGCCUGGGAGAGGCAGAGAAAUUGACCCCAGAUUUCAUUUGCAGGGUAGGGAGAGGAGGGGAUGCCCGUGGAUUGUCUCAGCACAUAGAGGUUUGGGGAAGGUGGCCAGGAGUGAGUCGGCUGCUUUCUCAGUGAUCCAGUGGCAGCUGGCUUUCUGAGACUCCAGCCAUUUCUCAGCCCAAGUGAUGCAGGGCUUCCCCUGCCUUCUGGAAGCAUCGGACAGCUUACACGGAGUCUGUGUGAAGAAUGAAGAAACAGGUCAGGGGUGCAGGCCCCAAGCCUGCAGAAAGCCCAUGCUGAGGCUGAAAGCAGGCGAGACCCUGGGAAGCCUCUUUCAUCAGCACCCUGCAGUCUUCAGGGACAGCAGCCUCAUCGUAGUCUCCAGGAUAAGAAUAGAAAUACAAAUUGAGAGCACAGCUUGUAGCUGGGGCUGAUGGCACCAGCUGCCAACAGUUGCCCUGUUAGUAGGCUAUGGGGACACGAGAGGGAGUAUUCUCUCCUCGAAGCUUGUGUUUAAAAAUGCAUCUUUCUUCAAAGCUGGCCUGGGGGUGGAUAAGGCCUAGGAGACCUACUCUCUCUGUGCUGAUCAGGUGCAAAUAUAUACUGUGAUUUGCUGCAGCUCACUUACCUCUGUGGGCUGGCUGGGGCCAGGUGACAGCAACAGGGAUCCCAUGUCUCAGCAAGGUAAUGUUUUAGGCAAUUUUUGGAUGAAGGCCAUGCUUCAAAACCUUUCCUCCAGGGAGCCUGCCAGUCAAGCUGUCCUGAGAUGGAGCCAGCCUGAAGAGUAACCGCUGGACUCUAAAAGCAGCUGACCCAGAGUAGCCAAAGCUUAAACCACUUGUGCUACAUGACUUCCCAGCUCUGGUCAUGUCCAGGAACAACAGCUGCCCUCACUGCAGAUGGGUAAGGGGUGCUGAGAGAGCAGAUGAAGAAGGUCAAAUCAGAGUUGGUCCACACCAUACCUUGGGGAGCCCCCUGGCUGGGCAAUGGCAAGACAGCACCUUCAACACGGCCAAGGCAAACAGACCUCAGUUUCCCCCUUCUUGUUUUCAGCCCAUCAAGGAAAAAUACGUUAGCUCACAAGUGCAAACGCAGACUCUCAAACCCUGCAAACUGCAUGCAGUGGUGACCACACACAGUGACGUCAGCUGCCCGAGCCCUGUCUGUAGCAUCUCUCCUUGUCGAGAUGGCAAAGUGACCAUUGUUUAUUACCUACUGAGCCCAAGCUCCGUAUUUGGCUCUUCAUGCAAGAUUGAUAGAUUCUUCCUGUCACCGGCCUCACUCUGGUGGCAGCUCUCCAGCCCUCCUCUGUGCUCCCUCCCCUCCUCCUCUGUGCUCCCUCCCCUCCUCCUCCACCUUCUAACAACUCAGGGCUAGAACCGGCCUCCCCAGUUUCCCUGCUGCCACUGCAGUCCUUUUUGAAGAAGCCAUUUCCGAGAGAGGAUGGAGCUGAUGACAGAUGCCCAGCCGGCCACCAUGCUCAGGAAUCUGUGGGCUGUGAAUCAUCUUGGCCAGGACAGCUGCUGACAGCACAUGGGGCCUUUCUGGAAUCAUCUCCCUCUCCACCUGCCCUGGCUCCCUGUGUCCUUGGAGAAGAGAGGCAGUGAGAUCGGAGGCUGGAGGCUGGGCACACACCAUGUGUGGCUGGGAAAAGAAAAGCCUGGACAUAAGGCACAGUUAUCCUGCCUGGGCCUGGGGGGAAUCUGACUUGGAGUGUGGGAUGGAGGUAAUGCAGAGCUGGAACCAUUUUCAUUCUGUGUCCUAAAGCAAGUCGCUAAAGCUUCAUGGAAGACUCGAUCUUGUGCUGGUCCUAUAGAAUUAAGUAUUGUAGCUUCAAAUAAGGAAGGAUGCUUUUGAAAGUUGGAAGACAGCAAGGCAGAGGGGCAGUGUCCAGUCACUGAGGCCUUGCUCUAGUGAGGGGUAAUUCCUCACAGAUAGCACCUUCUGUAUGUCUCUCAUGCCUAAAGGGGUGAAUGAGCUUCCUUAGGUCUCUUUUAUGAAGGUGCUAGUCCCAUCCUUGAAGGAGUCACUCUCAAGAACUGAUCAUCCAAAGGCCCCACCUUGAUGCUAUUGCCGUGAGAAUGAGUUAGCAACAUGAGUGUCCCAGUCAUGGGUCCAACUAACCUCUUGACCUCAGGCAUUGUGUCCUUGAAGUCAUGCUGACCUUACCUGACUAGGGAGUGUCUGUUUCACUAACUCAACCAAAGAUGGAGAGGUCUCCAAGCUACACUUAGAGGUUAAGUGCCUGAUGCUGCAGAGAAGGGACAUAUGGCAGGUGUGCCGGGCACCCUGUGGUCUGAUGUCUUAGAGUUAAUGGCUCCAGUCUUGACCUGGACCCAGGAAGCUCCUGGUUCAGUAGAACUAUAUGGUGGUUUUUCUAACAAUGCCAAAUUAAUUCUCAGAUUCUCCAACACCAUCCGGGUGUCCUAUGAUUCAACUCAACUCUGGCACUAACUGACUGGAAUUAGCCCAGCCCCUUCCCCCCACAUCUGGCCUCACUUCAGGUGCAGGCUAGGAACAGGGUCUCUAAGUGCUGUAAUCUGGGUUCCCCCAAAUUUGUAUGUUGCUAACUCAUUCUCAUGGCAAUACUAUUAAGGGGUGAGGCCUUUGGAUGAUCAGUUCCUGAGAGUGGCUCCUACAAGGAUGGGACUAGCACCUUCGUAAAAGAGGCCCAAGGAAGCUCAUUCACCCCUUUAGGCAUGAGAGACAUACAGAAGGUGCUCUCUGUGAGGAAUGAUGCUUCACUAGACAUGGGAUUUGCUAGUGCCUAUGUCUUGGACUUUCUGGCCACUAGAACAGUUAGCCAUAAGUUUCUAAGGGAUUUUGUUAUAGCUCUCCUAACAGGCAAGCCAUCAGUGAUUAAAUCGUUGUCAUGGCUGAUGGAGCUCUACCCCCAGCCCCUCCUUCUCCUCUGGAAAUAGGAUGAGGGAUGGUGGGAUUGAAUCCAUCCCCCUAAUCACUUGACCUUUCUCUGGCACCCCUCAGUGAGACGUGUCAGGAGUUUAAACUUAAGUGUCUCUAAAGGGGGUUAUGAUGAAUAACCGAAGGCAAUCUUUUCACUUAGGAAAUUCCAAGGGGUUUAGGAGCUCUGUGCCUGGAAUUGAGGACAAAGAUCUAAUAUAUAUACAGAUAUAUUAGAUUGCAGGUGGACAGAAAUGCUACAGAGAGCACAUCUGCUAGCUGGGGAGGCUGUAAGAGGGGAGGAGCUUGUGGUCUAGACCCCUUCUAGAGGGAGCCUUCUAGGUCAAGGUUCACUAUUGCUGUAGCCUUGUGCUGCAGUCUGAACCCUUGACCAGGUUACCCACACUUCGGAGCCUCAGUCAUGCCAUCCAUGAAUGGCUCUGAUAACCGCAAUUCUUCCAGGUUAUUGGGGAAUAUAAUGAGACCCUGCACAUCCUGAUCCUGCACACUAUGCUUUGCAUAUACCACGCAUUCGAUGAACCUAAGCAAUUCUUGGAUGAUCAGGGUCAUGAUCAUGACUAAGGAAAACCUCAGGGGAACAUGAGCAAGGCUGAAGCCUCGGCUGUGUAAUUGGCUCUGAUUCUCUUGUUCUCCACCUACACCAGGCAAUGGGCUCCUGGACAACUGCUCAGUGGUCCAUGAGCCUCCUUCAUGCUGAGGGGACAGCAGGGCUCUCCUUCCAGUCUGAGGGUCUUGGAGGCCUGUGAAUUUUGCCUGUGUUGGGUGGCAUGGGGUGCAGAUCUGACAGUGCCCCUUAUUAGAAAAAGGUCAGCUUUGAAACAACUACCAUAAGAUAAACCAAAAUAUUUUUGAAACAAAAUCAAAACAUCUAAUCAAAACAUGAGAGAGAGGGCUAUGUUUUUGUGACCAAGUCUUUCAAUUUUUGAUGUUUAUGCUCCAAGUAGGGGCAAGAGAGGCUGGUGUUUUGGGGUCCCAGAUGCCUUAGAGGAAGGUGUGAGGAUCCUCAAGGGGGGCAGUGGUUGCUCUUUGGGAGCUCAAUGAUCAUAGGGCUGGGGAAUGGUUUUGGGAUUGCAGCCAGCUGGUCACUAUGGGCUGAGCCAAAGAUAAGCCCAGUGUAAGGAACAGGCUUGCACCCCAAUGAAUAUUAGCUCUCUGAGCUAUACCUGCCACUAAUACCUCACCAGGGAAGGCAGUAGUGUACAGCGACUGAACAUUUCGUAUCAACUGUUCCUUUCUGCAUACCUAAUACUCCAGUGGGAUCUUCCCUGCCCUGCAAAAAAAAAAAAAAAAGUGUCCAAUGCCCAACGUUGGAGCCUCAUGUGGGUCCGGUCUGUCACUCACAUCUCCAAAACCUUGUGGGUGCUUCUCUGUCUUCCCAGGUUUGGAGAGGCAGGGAUACAGCUCCUUGGACCUUGUGACUGACACUGCCGACCCUCAGGGCAGGCCUGGGACAAACAUGGCCACAGCACAGCUGCUGCCCUUCACUCUGAGUGGGCCCCACAGGAGCCAGUGCCAGGCUGCUGGAUUUUUAGCUCGUCUCCUGCUGUCACCGCUCAGUUAAAGGACAAGAGGGAGACUGCUAAGGAAACGUGGCAGCUUGGGACCUUGCGGUGUCGUUUGUAGUCUCCUUGGCCUGCAGCCUCCUGGAGAUGCACACGAGGGCUCUCAACCGCGGAGAAAA